rnacentral:rRNA from 1 species
GAUGAACGCUGGCGGCGUGCCUAAUACAUGCAAGUCGAGCGAACAGACGAGGAGCUUGCUCCUCUGACGUUAGCGGCGGACGGGUGAGUAACACGUGGAUAACCUACCUAUAAGACUGGGAUAACUUCGGGAAACCGGAGCUAAUACCGGAUAAUAUAUUGAACCGCAUGUUUCAAUAGUGAAAGACGGUUUUGCUGUCACUUAUAGAUGGAUCCGCGCCGCAUUAGCUAGUUGGUAAGGUAACGGCUUACCAAGGCGACGAUGCGUAGCCGACCUGAGAGGGUGAGCGGCCACACUGGAACUGAGACACGGUCCAGACUCCUACGGGAGGCAGCAGUAGGGAAUCUUCAGCAAUGGGCGAAAGCCUGACGGUGCAACGCCGCGUGAGUGAUGAAGGUAUUCGGAUCGUAAAACUCUGUUAUUAGGGAAGAACAAAUGUGUAAGUAACUAUGCACGUCUUGACGGUACCUAAUCAGAAAGCCACGGCUAACUACGUG